AUUGAACGCUGGCGGCAUGCUUUACACAUGCAAGUCGAACGGUAACAGGCCUUCGGGUGCUGACGAGUGGCGAACGGGUGAGUAAUGCAUCGGAACGUGCCCAAUCGUGGGGGAUAACGUAGCGAAAGUUACGCUAAUACCGCAUAAGCCCUGAGGGGGAAAGCAGGGGAUCGCAAGACCUUGCGCGAAUGGAGCGGCCGAUGUCAGAUUAGCUAGUUGGUGGGGUAAAGACCUACCAAGGCGACGAUCUGUAGCGGGUCUGAGAGGAUGAUCCGCCACACUGGGACUGAGACACGGCCCAGACCCCUAC
rnacentral:rRNA from 1 species